AUUGAACGCUGGCGGCAUGCUUUACACAUGCAAGUCGAACGGUAACAGGGUGCUUGCACCGCUGACGAGUGGCGAACGGGUGAGUAAUGCGUCGGAACGUACCGAGUAGUGGGGGAUAACGCAGCGAAAGUUGUGCUAAUACCGCAUACGUACUGAGGUAGAAAGUGGGGGACCUUCGGGCCUCACGCUAUUCGAGCGGCCGACGUCUGAUUAGCUAGUAGGUGAGGUAAAGGCUCACCUAGGCGACGAUCAGUAGCGGGUCUGAGAGGAUGAUCCGCCACACUGGGACUGAGACACGGCCCAGACUCCUACGGGAGGCAGCAGUGGGGAAUUUUGGACAAUGGGCGAAAGCCUGAUCCAGCCAUGCCGCGUGUCUGAGGAAGGCCUUCGGGUUGUAAAGGACUUUUGUCAGGGAGGAAAUCCCUAGUGCUAAUAACACUGGGGGAUGACAGUACCUGAAGAAUAAGCACCGGCUAACUACGUGCCAGCAGCCGCAGUAA
rnacentral:rRNA from 1 species